CCUACGGGCGGCAGCAGUGGGGAAUAUUGCACAAUGGGCGCAAGCCUGAUGCAGCCAUGCCGCGUGUGUGAAGAAGGCCUUCGGGUUGUAAAGCACUUUCAGCGGGGAGGAAGGCGGUGAGGUUAAUAACCUCAUCGAUUGACGUUACCCGCAGAAGAAGCACCGGCUAACUCCGUGCCAGCAGCCGCGGUAAUACGGAGGGUGCAAGCGUUAAUCGGAAUUACUGGGCGUAAAGCGCACGCAGGCGGUCUGUCAAGUCGGAUGUGAAAUCCCCGGGCUCAACCUGGGAACUGCAUUCGAAACUGGCAGGCUAGAGGCUUGUAGAGGGGGGUAGAAUUCCAGGUGUAGCGGUGAAAUGCGUAGAGAUCCGGAGGAAUACCGGUGGCGAAGGCGGCCCCCUGGACAAAGACUGACGCUCAGGUGCGAAAGCGUGGGGAGCAAACAGGAUUAGAUACCCCGGUAGUC
rnacentral:rRNA from 1 species